AACGCAUAUUGCGCUCUUUGGUAUUCCGAAGAGCAUGCUUGUUUGAGUAUCAGUAAACACCUCAAAACUUUUUGAUUUUUUUUUUAAAAGAAAAAAGUUUUGGACUUGAGCAAUCCCAACACCAAUCUUUUAUAGAUCGGCGGCGGGUUGCUUGAAAUGCAGGUGCAGCUGGACAUUCUCCUGAGCUAAAAGCAUAUUUAUUUAGUCCCGUCAAACGGAUUAUUACUUUUGCUGCAGCUAAUAUAAAGGGAGUUUGACCGUAUUGGCUGACUGAUGCAGGAUUUCACAAGGGUCGGCAACGAUUCUUGUAAAACUCGAUCUCAAAUCAAGUAAGACUACCCGCUGAACUUAA
rnacentral:misc_RNA from 1 species